rnacentral:rRNA from 1 species
CUACGGGUUGCACCAGUAAGGAAUAUUGCACAAUGGGGGAAACCCUGAUGCAGCAACGCCGCGUGGACGAAGAAGGCCUUCGGGUCGUAAAGUCCUUUUCUGAGGGAAGAGGAAGGACGGUACCUCAGGAAUAAGUCUCGGCUAACUACGUGCCAGCAGCCGCGGUAAAACGUAGGAGGCGAGCGUUAUCCGGAUUCACUGGGCGUAAAGGGCAAGUAGGCGGUUGUUUAAGUUAGGUGUGACAUCUCUCGGCUUAACUGGGGGGGAGCGCUUAAAACUAGGCAACUAGAGGGCGGAAGAAGGGGGUAGAACUCCAAAUGUAGCGGUGGAAUGCUCAGAUAUUUGGAAGAAUACCAGUGGCGAAGGCGACCCCCCGGUCCGUGCCUGACGCUGAGAGGCGAAAGCUAGGGUAGCGAACGGGAUUAGAUACCCUUGUAGUC